UACGUAGGUGGCAAGCGUUGUCCGGAAUUAUUGGGCGUAAAGCGCGCGCAGGCGGCCUUUUAAGUCUGAUGUGAAAGCCCGCGGCUCAACUGUGGAAGGUCAUUGGAAACUGAAAGGCUUGAGUACAGAAGAGGAAAGCGGAAUUCCACGUGUAGCGGUGAAAUGCGUAGAGAUGUGGAGGAACACCAGUGGCGAAGGCGGCUUUCUGGUCUGUAACUGACGCUGAGGCGCGAAAGCGUGGGGAGCAAACAGGAUUAGA
rnacentral:rRNA from 1 species